AUUGAACGCUGGCGGCAGGCUUAACACAUGCAAGUCGAGCGGGGUGAUGGUGCUUGCACUAUCACUUAGCGGCGGACGGGUGAGUAAUGCUUAGGAAUCUGCCUAUUAGUGGGGGACAACAUCUCGAAAGGGGUGCUAAUACCGCAUACGUCCUACGGGAGAAAGCAGGGGAUCACUUGCGACCUUGCGCUGAUAGAUGAGCCUAAGUCGGAUUAGCUAGUUGGUGGGGGAAAGGCCUACCGAGGCGACGAUCUGUAGCGGGUCUGUGAGGAUGAUCCGCCACACUGGGACUGAGACACGGCCCAGACUCCUACGGGAGGCAGCAGUGGGGAAUAUUGGACAAUGGGGGGAACCCUGAUCCAGCCAUGCCGCGUGUGUGAAGAAGGCCUUAUGGUUGUAAAGCACUUUAAGCGAGGAGGAGGCUCUUUUGGUUAAUACCCAAGAUGAGUGGACGUUACUCGCAGAAUAAGCACCGGCUAACUCUGUGCCAGCCGCCGCGGUAA
rnacentral:rRNA from 1 species